rnacentral:misc_RNA from 1 species
UUGAGGACUUGACUUUGGCGG